UACGGAGGGUGCGAGCGUUGUCCGGAAUCACUGGGCGUAAAGGGCGCGUAGGUGGCGCGGGCAGUCAACGGUGAAAGUUCGGGGCUCAACCCUGAAUCGGCCGUCGAUACUCCCGGGCUUGGGCACUGUAGAGGCUAAUGGAAUUCCGGGUGUAGCGGUGGAAUGCGUAGAGAUCCGGAAGAACACCGGUGGCGAAGGCGGUUAGCUGGGCAGUUGCUGACACUGAGGCGCGGCAGCGUGGGGAGCAAACAGGG
rnacentral:rRNA from 1 species